rnacentral:rRNA from 1 species
CACGUAAGUUGCAAGCGUUGUUCGGAUUUAUUGGGCGUAAAGGGCACGUAGGCGGCCUGUCAAGCUUGGUGUGAAAGACUUCGGCUCAACCGAAGAAACGCGCCGAGAACUGACAAGCUAGAGUUUAAGAGGGGGAGUUAGAAUUCCAGGUGUAGGGGUGAAAUCUGUAGAUAUCUGGAAGAAUACCGGUGGCGAAGGCGAACUCCUGGUAAUAAACUGACGCUGAGGUGCGAAAGCGUGGGGAGCGAACAGG